AUUGAACGCUGGCGGCAGGCCUAACACAUGCAAGUCGAGCGAGCGGCGGACGGGUGAGUAAUGUCUGGGAAUCUGCCCGAUGGAGGGGGCUAACUACUGGAAACGGUGGCUAAUACCGCAUACUAUCGGAUGUACCCAUAUGGGAUUAGCUAGUAGGUGGGGUAAAGGCUCCCCUAGGCGACGCUCUCUAGCUGGUCUGCGAGGAUGACCAGCCACACUGGGACUGAGACACGGCCCAGAAUCCUACGGGAGGCAGCAGUGGGGAAGAUUGCACAAUGGGCGCAAGCCUGAUGCAGCCAGGCCGCGGGUAUGAAGAAGGCCUUAGGGUGGUAAAGUACGUUCAGCGGGGAGGCGUUACCCGCAGAAGAAGCACCGGCUAACUCCGUGCCAGCAGCCGCGGUAAUAC
rnacentral:rRNA from 1 species